rnacentral:rRNA from 1 species
CAGCCACCGCGGUAAUACGUAGCGUGCAAGCGUUGUCCGGAAUCAUUGGGCGUAAAGGGUACGCAGGCGGAUAUGCAAGUCAAAUGUGAAAACUACCGGCUUAACUGGUAGACUGCGUUUGAAACUGUAUAUCUUGAGUGCAGCAGAGGAGAGCGGAAUUUCUAGUGUAGUGGUGGAAUACGUAGAUAUUAGAAAGAACACCAGUGGCGAAGGCGGCUCUCUGGGCUGACACUGACGCUCAGGUACGAAAGCUGGAGGAGCGAACGGGAUUAGAUACCCCGGUAGUUCCAGCUGUAAACGAUGGACACUAGGUGUUGGGGGUUCGAUUCCCUCAGUGCCGUAGUUAACGCAGUAAGUGUCCCGCCUGGGGAUUACGGUCGCAAGACUGAAACUUAAAGGAAUUGGCGGG